rnacentral:rRNA from 1 species
AUUGAACGCUGGCGGCAUGCCUUACACAUGCAAGUCGAACGGCAGCGGGCCUUCGGGUGCCGGCGAGUGGCGAACGGGUGAGUAAUGCAUCGGAACGUGCCAUUGAGUGGGGGGAUAACGUAGCGAAAGUUACGCUAAUACCGCAUAUUCUGUGAGCAGGAAAGCAGGGGACCGCAAGGCCUUGCGCUCUUUGAGCGGCCGAUGUCAGAUUAGCUAGUUGGUGAGGUAAAGGCUUACCAAGGCGACGAUCUGUAGCGGGUCUGAGAGGAUGAUCCGCCACACUGGAACUGAGACACGGUCCAGACUCCUACGGGAGGCAGCAGUGGGGAAUUUUGGACAAUGGGCGCAAGCCUGAUCCAGCCAUGCCGCGUGAGUGAAGAAGGCCUCGGUUGUAAGGACUCUUUCGGUCCGGGAACGGAAA